rnacentral:rRNA from 1 species
AGCGAACGCUGGCGGCAGGCCUAACACAUGCAAGUCGAACGAACUCUUCGGAGUUAGUGGCGGACGGGUGAGUAACACGUGGGAACGUGCCUUUUGGUUCGGAAUAACACAGGGAAACUUGUGCUAAUACCGAAUGUGCCCUUCGGGGGAAAGAUUUAUCGCCAUUAGAGCGGCCCGCGUCUGAUUAGCUAGUUGGUGAGGUAACGGCUCACCAAGGCGACGAUCAGUAGCUGGUCUGAGAGGAUGACCAGCCACACUGGGACUGAGACACGGCCCAGACUCCUACGGGAGGCAGCAGUGGGGAAUCUUGCGCAAUGGGCGAAAGCCUGACGCAGCCAUGCCGCGUGAAUGAUGAAGGUCUUAGGAUUGUAAAAUUCUUUCACCGGGGACGAUAAUGACGGUACCCGGAGAAGAAGCCCCGGCUAACUUCGUG